UAGGGAAUCUUCGGCAAUGGGGGGAACCCUGACCGAGCAACGCCGCGUGAGUGAAGAAGGUUUUCGGAUCGUAAAGCUCUGUUGUUAAGGAAGAACGAGUGUGAGAAUGGAAAGUUCAUGCUGUGACGGUACUUAACCAGAAAGGGACGGCUAACUACGUUCCAGCAGCCGCGGUAAUACGUAGGUCCCGAGCGUUGUCCGGAGUUAUUGGGCGUAAAGCGAGCGCAGGCGGUUAGAAAAGUAUGAAGUGAAAGGCAGUGGCUCAACCAUUGUAGGCUUUGGAAACUGUUUAACAUGAGUGCAGAAGGGGAGAGUGGAAUUCCAUGUGUAGCGGUGAAAUGCGUAGAUAUAUGGAGGAACACCGGUGGCGAAAGCGGCUGUCUGGUCUGUAACUGACGCUGAGGAUCGAAAGAGUGAGGAGCGAACAGG
rnacentral:rRNA from 1 species